rnacentral:lncRNA from 1 species
GGUCUCGAACUCCUGACCUCAGGUGAUCCACCCGCCUCAGCCUCCCGAAGUGCUAGGAUCACAGGCAAGAUAGGUAUUUUAAAUUGUCAUUUAACAGAUGGCAAAUAGCCACAGAAAAGUAAAGCCACUUUUUCAAACUCACAAAGUCAAAUGUUUGGCCUAGUUCUGUCAGACUGUAAAGCCCAUGCUUUUAAUUGGUAUCUAAUACUGCUUUCCUAUCAGUAGACUAUCAGAUUAUCAUUCCUAAAGAUAUUUAAAAGAAUGGGUGCUCUAGGGUUGGAGUUCAAAACAUUAAUAGAAUUAUACUAUUAAGGUUGCAUGUGAUCACUUUGCUGCUGUGAGAGACUCUGGAUGCUGUGUUUGCUGGUCAUUUCAAAGGCUGAAGAGAAACAGACAUGCCUGUCCUUGCCAAAUACAUUGUUUCCCCUAUCAUUCUGUCACUAUGGAAGUACUUGUUUUUUCUGACCUGGGAAUAAUGGUAUUGUGGUUAUUGGCGUUUUUGUUACCUUUCUUACUAGAAAUUAUGCAGAUAUCCCCAAUUAUAUCCAGAUGCACACCUUAUAUUCCAAAUUUUGUUGCCUGGGAUUGACUGAGUACCCUUUUGAGUUCCCUGCAUCAGAGACGUGUUUACAGUUGUGCUUCCCAGUCUUCAGCAUUUAUGGUUUCAUGUUUGUCAAAUUUGUUUGAAGUAUAAAAACGAUAAUCUUAAUUCUGUUACUGAUCAUUCCUUCAUUCUCUAGCUAUUUGUCACAUCAUCUUUCUUUUGAAACGUUUAGGGAAUUAAGAAAUUAAUAAUUUUAUACUCAUUCUUUUUCCACUCACAUAUCUCACUGGCUUUGUUCAGAAUUAAAUUGUUUUUGGUCCCUGUGUACUAUUUCCUUCUAUUAAUUAACUGACGGUUGUUUCUCUCUUCUGUGUUUUUGAUGCUUUUUUUUUUCUUUUACUGUUUAAAACUUUUUCAGAAGAUGUAGCGAGUGACUCAGGUGCUAGCUAGUGUUACUGAUUUCCCCCCCAUGUUAGUUAAUACCAUGUCAAAUAUAACUGAAGAACUCUGUUGUACUCACAGAUUAUGCCCCUCAUGGUCAGCAGACUAUUCAGAUACAGACUUUCAGGGGGAAGGUUUUCAAAAAAGUGUGGCUGCAAUCUGUAAAUGCUUUUAACAUCUGCACAUUGCAUUACUGUUUUCAAAUGUUUUUGUACCACAUAAUUUUAUUUAAUAUUCACAACUAUUCUGUGAGAGCUUUAUUCUUUUAUGUUGUAGGGUUUUCUUAUUUUACAGAUUGGGAAACUGGUGUGGAGCGGUUAAAUGACUUACUCAAGAUUACAUAGCUAGUUAUAAGUGGAAGGACAAGGAUUUGAAGGAACAGGUGUGGCCUCUUCCAGGAAACAGUAUAAAUAGUCAGACUUUAUGAAGGAUAAAUUGGUAGGAGAGUCAUUUAUCUCACUUGUCUGUAAAGAGGAUUCUUUUUCUCAAGUAGAGCGUGAAGUAGAUUAUUUACUAGAAAAGCUUGAAAAUGCAUUUCAGAAAAUUAAAACUGCUUUGAAAUUAGGUGCAUAAUAAGAAUUGCUUCAGAGCCUGGCAUCCGUUGGACAUUAUACACAUAUUCUCUGUCAAUGAGGUUUACAGUUAAGGUCUCUUCAAUCCUUAUUUUCUGAAAUCUCUUUUUGCUUAUAUAUUGAGACUGAAGUUAGCAAUUUUCCUCCAGGUGUGGACUUUGAAAAUUAAAUAUACUUAUUGAAACGUAGGUUGCGUUUAUAUAGUGCUACCCUCCAGGAUUCUUGGAAAUUUAAAUGUAUUAUUGUAUGUAUGAAUCAUGGAACGCACUAUAGAAUCUAUAGUGGUUAUCAGUUUUGUUUUGGGUGUAGUUCAUGGUGUUUAGUUAAGUCUCUAAAGCAGAGUUUAGGAUCUCUGCCUUUCAGUUAUCUGAGUGCUGUGGGGCUACAUACCCACUCAGAUUCUCUUGUUCUAAGUGGUCUUAACACUCAGUUAGCUCUAUGUGUUGGUGGUGACAAAUUUUACUAUAUUUAUGACCUAGGUCUUUGAGUGGGCACUGUUUCAAGAAUCUAGGAAGGUACUGGCUACUAUUCAACUCACUGUCGGUUUCAAUUAUGGUCAGAGAAUUUUGAAAACAAAAAUUCUGAAUGCCCUAUAGUUUAAUAAAAAGUAGUUGAUCCUUUUGUUCAAAGCACUGUCCCACUUCACCUCCCCUCUAGGUUUGAAGCAUUCCUAUGCAGACAGUUUACCGACAUGAUAAACAAAAUUAUCCAUUCAUGCAUCCUAGGAUUUUAAUGUUACCAUCGCCCUCCACUCAAAAUGCAAUAUGCAUUUAGUCUGUAAUAGCAUCACUCCAUUUUAAGUGAAUAGUUGUUUCAGCUUUGAUUUGUAAUCACAAUUAAGGUAAAUUAUCCUUGUUUGCCUAGGACUGUCCUGGUUUUAAAACUCAAAAUCUCUUGUCCAAGGAACCCUCACAGUCCCGGACAAACCAGAACAAUUUCUUAAAAUACUAUUUAGGAAAACUGGUCACCCGAACGGCAAGGCUGUGUUGUUGAUUAGGCUUUAGGCAUGUUAUUGAGACUAUAGACUAAGCUCAGAUCAAUGGUUUUGAAGAUUCUGUAUGGGUCAGGAUUACCUGGAGUACUUGUUAAACAGACUGCUGGCUCCCAUCCCCCUAGUUUGGAUGGAGUAGGUCUGUGGUGGGGGUCUGAGAAUUACUUUAGUAACAGUUGCCUAAGCCAUGCUGACGCUGCUGGUUAGGAGAGUGCAUUGAGAACCACUGGCCUAGAUCAGGCUGUGUGCUGUGUGAGUAUAUGAUGAUGCUUGGUUCAGAAUUGUGGAGAAAGGGGAGCUGUGUUUCUCUGCCUCACAGGUCUAAGCACCAAUAACACCAAAGGGUAUUUGUAUCUGAACUGUGCUCAUACAGCACAAGAAGAGACGUGCUCCUGUUAGAGGUGACAGAAGUAGGGGAAGGAUUAAAAACAGUCUAGCUGUCAAAUCCUUCACAGUAUGGAUAUAUUUUGAUUGUUUAUAGUAUCUUAGGCAAACUUUGAUUUGAUAAUUAAUUUGAGUCUUAUAGUCACAACAUCUGAAAUGGAUACUUCAGAAAGCAGAUAUUCAUUAUUAUAGCAGAACUGAUUAUAGCUGGGUUUAGCAGGGAUAAUGGUACCCAUCUUGCCUACUUCUCAGUUAUCACUGUAAAAAUCUAGUUACAUAAAAGGUGUGAGCAUGCGGUACAAAUAAGAUGUCAUGGUGAUGAUUAAAGUGUACUUUGUUGUUGGACAGUAUGUUUCACAGUGCUUUCAUCUUCAUGUUCCAUUUGGUUGUUUUCAGGUGUCUUCAGAAUUCGGCAAAGUAGAUGGGACUGCAGACGUUACCAUUCCCUGUGACUCUUGCUACGAUCUUACAGACUUCAUUGUGCUGGGCUUAGAUGUCUUCAGAGUCACCAGCUUUGUUUUUCAGUUCCAUGAAAUCAGCCUGCCUUUUCUUUUUUUGGUGAUACAUCCACAUUCUGUAUAGGUGAAAAGCAAAACAAACAAGUAUAAAACGAAAAUUAUGUAAGAAGUACACACAUCCUAGCAGCUUGGCAAGUGUCUGUAUGCUCUUGCCUGUGCCUAAAUCCAGAAUUAGAAUUCAUGCUUGGUGCUCCUGUGGAAGAUGUCUAAAUGUUAUGAGAAAUACAUGAUUAAAUAAAAAUGUGAAAUGAAAGCAUGGAGACUUGUUGAAGGUGAGUGCUGUUUUUCUAAUUAUAUAUUUUAUUUGUUUAAUGAAUAAUUUGUUAAUUUUCUUUGUCAUUACGAGAGAGCUGUUUUAUUCUGUACUUAGGUGCAUAGCAUACUAUGUUUUAGUGAGCUCCACAUGUUAAUUUGAAACUUGCCAAAUUUUUACAUUAUUUUAUAAUUUAUAGUACUUUGAGAAACAUAUUGCAAUGCAUUACAAAGCAUAUAAUGUAAAGGUAGUUUUAUGAAGUGUUUUUCUCCCAAAUUAAGCAUAUUUGGGAAUUGCCCAUCAAUUUGUUUUUGAACCUCAGUGCAUAAAAUAUAGAAUUUUUCUUUCAUAUGCUAGAUGUGAAAAAUACUCAGCAUAUGCAUGUGGUUUAGGCUACAAAAUAGCCUGUAGGUUAAAUUCCUAAUUCUAGUGUUUAAUUCAUUGCCUUUUUUCUUCUUGUUUAAUGGCCAUAUGUUUAUAUCUUUAUAUUACAUACAUUCCUGAUUAUGUAAUAAGGUCUUUGAUCAUGUGGGCUAUCAGAUUUGCCUCACUUUGUCUCUUAGAAGAAGCUAUACAUGAAACUAUGUUGUACUUAAGUGAAAAUUUGAGUAUUUUUCUUGUUUGAAUUAAUGCAGUGAAACAUUCUACUUACAGUUAGCUGUCUCCCACCCUUACAGGAAGGUACAUGCCUUCAUUUUUUAAAACACUGUAUAUUUAUUAGAAUUGUUACAGAAUUUUAGUAAAUAUAUUCUAAUCACAUAUUUUCUGAUUAAUGUGUGCUUAUCAGUUUUAAAUGUUAUGAAAUCUGGAUAUAUGUUAAAAUGUCUCAGUUUUCCCCUCUUGUUUACCAUAUUGCCAUUUGGUAUUAAUAGAUAACAUAAUGUAAAAUUGGAUGUCUUUGAUAAUUUUGGGAUAUGUUCUGAAAUUAAACUUGAACUUUUUUCUGUGAAUUUUGAAGAUUUGGUAUCUUAUAAUUAUUUGGUGAGCAUUUGGCAUGAAUUAUUUAGCUUCUCCCCUGUUUAUGAUUUAUUUCUCUUGUCAUCGAUUUCCAAUAGGAAAAUGUUAUGGUUCUAAAUGUCUCCUGUAGACUUCAGUAAUUGAAAAAUGUCAGUCAAGAUGGGGGGAAUCUGUAAUAUAUAAUAGAGUUUAUCUUUUAGUUAUGUUCAUUUCCACUUUUUUUAAUGUGUUUUUUUUUUAGUAAAUGUCAAAAGUGUUACUCAGUGCAACAUAUUAUGCAAUAUUAUAAUCAACUAACCUCUUCAUUGAUAAUGACUUCAUAUUGAGAGGUUUUUUAAAUCUAGAAAUAUUCUUGUUUUAAAUUCCAGGUUAAAAUGUAAAGGUAUUUUUAUUUUUUUAAUUUUAAUUCUUCUCAAAGCUACUAGUACAUUAUAAAACAACAAUUUCACAUUUAGAAUUUUUAUAUGUAUAUAAAUUAGGAUUAUUUUUUAAUAUUAGCCUUAACUUUCUUUAACUUUUAUGAAAAACAACUAGUCCCAAGGGUAUUUUUACUAUUUAAUAUACAUUAUUCCUGUGAUUCAAAAUCUUAGCAGUAGAACCUGUUGAGCUACUUAACUUUCUGUCUUGGGACUAUCCAGGUGCAGUUAUAACUGGUUUCAAAGUUGUGACCUUUUCCUUGCUUGUUUCAAAAUCAUUCCUUAAAAAAUGUUCAGUAUUUUUCUUUUGUCAAAAAAUAAAAACAGGAUUUGUGGGUUGUUCUGUUUUUUAAAAUUAGUUUGAGAAACUUCCUUUGCCACUUGUUUUCUGUGCAAAUGUUGUAAGAGCUCAAAUUCCCUGGGGGUAGGGAGGACUUUUAUAAGGUUUUUUUGGUUGAAGGGUAUAAAAGGCACUUAAAAGGUAUACAGUUACUUUUAUUUCGAUAUCCCAGUCAUUUUGACAUUAUGAUAAGCUUUCCCCACUUUAUAGGUUAUCUGAAAAUUUGGUGGGGGGCGGGUAUUUUAUUUAUACUUAAUAUAACAAAAUUAUUUUCCUAUGUGUAGUCAAUAGCACAUACAAAAAAUUAUCUCCUGUUUGUAGUCAGUAGCACAGUCAGUAUUCACCAAAAUACUGAGUUAUUUUUCAAGUAAAGGUAUAAGUAUGAAUGAGAAACAGUUUGUGGGUUGGGUAUUGUCAGUCCUUCUUUUUCAGAUAACUUUCUAAAUGGUCAUUCAAUCUGUAAUCUUAAACUUUUUUAAUGUUAUAAAUUCUUCAAAUCAGUAUUUGUAUUAAAUGCAGUGACCAGACUAUGUCACUGAUACAAUGUCAUGAUUAGAUGUGCAGAAGACUAUGUUACAUGGAUGAUAAAUGAACUUUUAACAUAUAGAAAUUAAUAUCAGAUUAAACUAAAACAUUAAGCAAAGUUAAUACAUGCUUGCAUACAUAUAUAUAUUUAUUUAUUAAUGAUAUGUGGAGAAUCUUUGUGCUUCAUAGUCACUAGACCUAAAGUAGAAGCAGUUGUCAAGAAUGUCCAACUGCUAUUCAUCUUUGUGGCCAAAGUAAAUUUCAGAUUUUUUUUUUGUAAUGGUUUUCUUUAGUCUCUUUAUUAACCCAUCAUCAUGACAAGUCUGUCAAGUGACACAUGUGAAAAGCAGAUGUCCUUUCUUAUUCCUGGUGCUUCCUAAGGAGGCAGUGCAAUGCAGGAGAAGGAACAUUAUUAGAGAUAAAGGAAAAAACCAGAAGUGCUUUCUCCUCUCACAUUCCACUCAACACUUCUCUCACCAAAUGUGUGUGGGGAUUUCUCUCCACCAACAACCAGCAGUUCUUUACUGCAGAUUCUCCAGUGGAUACCAGCCAGGUGUCCUCUAAUUCAGUUCAAUUCUGACAUUAUCUACUGGGAGAUAGUGUCAGAUCCCGCAAGUGGAGGGCUCAGUCCUACAAGACUACCCCUUACUUCAGAUGUCAGUCACAAGCAGUUAGCGGUUUGUGAUUCUGACCAACUGGCUAGAGGUCCCCCUCCUCAAGUGUGAUUAAUUUGCUAGAGCAGCUCACAGAAUUCAGGGAAACACUUUAUUUACAUUUACCCAUUUAUUAUAAAGGAUAUUAUGAAGGAUACACAUGAACUGCCAGAAAGACAAGGAGCAUAGGCAAGAUACUGAGAAGGGUCACGGAGCUUCUGUGCCUUCUCCAGGUGCACCACCCUCUGGGAAUAGUCAGUUCAUGUGUUCAGCUGUCUCGAAGCUCAUUCGAACCCUGUCCUUCUGAGUUUCUGUGGAGGCUUCAUUACGUUAAGGUUCAGAAAUCAAUACCCCAAAAUAUGGGGCUUUGACAUGCUGAAUUAAAGAAGCAGCCUCAAGGCCUCUUGGCCUUCUCCAGCUCUCCUCACCCAAAUCCUGUCUCUCCCAAAGCACAAGAUGAGGCUGUUCACCAAAGUUCCCUUAUUUACCUAGAAACUGGACCUUAAAGAGGAACACAGUUGCCUGCGAUUCCAUCCCUGUAAUUUUAUUAACCAGAGAUUAAAACUUAUAUCACAGAGGAAGAGACUAAAAAUUAAACACCACACCUGGAGCCCAGAUGACCUGUCCCAAUCUAUUAUCUGUUCUCCAGUCCCAUUUAGUUCCCAAAGGGAAUCAUUUACAAACCAUUGUCUGAUCUUCCGGCCCAUUUAUUUACAGCUCCCCCUCUUUCCCCAAUGAAAAUGAUACUUAAGUGUCAGCCAUCUAUCGGCUCUUUGAGUUUUCACAUUUUGUAUGACUCCUGUGCACACACAUGCAUGUAAUAACUGUUAUACUUGUUAACUUUUUUUCAUUAUAGGGGUAUCCACCAUGAUUAUAUAUGAUGGGGAGGAAAGGGAUUACUCCAUUUCUGCCCCUGCAGUCUGUAGGCAUGAUUGAUUACAUCAUUGGUCGCCGGUGAUUAACUCAGUCUCCAAGCCCUGUCGUGUCCCUGGAGGUUGGAGGGUGGCACUGAAAGCUCCAACCAUCUCAUCAUGCUUUGAUCUUUCCGAUGACCAGACCCCACCCUGAAGCUAUCUACGGGUCCCCAGCAACAUUCAUUUCGUUAUCAUACAAAUGACAUUCUUACAAUUUCAGAGAUUCCAAGGGCUUUAGGAAAUGGAGAUGAAGAGCAAAUAUAUAUUUCACAAUAUCACAAACAUACCCUUGGGAAUUAGACCUCUGAUCUAAUCUAGGCUCCCUCACUUGCCAUUUUUGUGACCUUGAACAAGUUGUUCAUCUUUUCUGGAUAGUUCUCUGUUAAAAAAAUUAAAAUAAAAAAAUGGUGGCUAUCAGGUUGUUAGGAGGACUAGAUAAGAGAACUAUGUGAAGGACCCUGCACAGUGCUAGCAACAAAGUUGUUUAGUAAGUGCUAUUUCAAUUUAUUUUGCUUCCAAGCUCAUGUGAGCUCCCUCAGUGUGUACCACCAAAUCACAUGAUGUGUAUCCCAGUCAAAUCUUAAAGGUCAUCCACCUUGAAUCUUUAAGUUAAUUAACGUGUGUUUUUAAAACUGCAUUAUAAGAACGUUAGGGUUUUUGUUUUGAUCCUAUGGAAGUUAAAUUUUUUACACAAGCAUUCAACUGUUUAGCUUCAAACUGAACAGAUAAAUAGUCUGUAUUAUUUCAUUAUGUAUUAAAAAAUGAUUAAGCCUGCCUCAGGCAGUUCAGGCAAAGCAGGUAAAAGAUUAUCAAGGAGUAACAUUAGAAAACACUAAUCAGAGUGCCUAAAAAGCUUUAUGCGGUCCAGGUUGUACAGGGAUGUUGGAACAGUAAAACAAACAAAACAUUACAAGGUAUGAAGCGUUCGAGAUAGGUAGAAUAGAGCAGGUUAUAUUAGAGAAGUCUCUUCUAAAAUUGUGUUGGCUAGCCUGGGAUUUGAACUUAUACCGUGUAUGUAUGUCCAUGUGUAACAGGUUGAACAUGCAAGAAGCAGUGUUCAUAAAAGGUGGCAAACUUGUUUUACUUGUUUCUCAGUCUUUUCAGAUCAGUACUUAUAAAACACUGAUAUUUACAGUAAAUAUCUUAUAUUAAAUAUUAGCUAACCCUAUUAAAUUGUGUGUCCUUGUGCUGCAGUCAUUUAAUGACCUCAUUCUUUGGUAAGUUGGCAUGUGAUUUGAGAUAGCUCUAAGUGCUAAUGGAUUGUUUGAAGGAGUUAAAGGCAAAACCAGGAAGAGAAAACUAUUUUUAGGAAAAAGCGAUCAUACAACAGGCCUUAAAUAGAAGAAAUGAGAUAUCUCUAUCUUUACUAUGUAACCUUUAAUUCCUUACACAUUUUGACUUCAUAUUUUUUGUAUGUAAAUGAGAAUGUUAUAGUCUUGUAAAUUCCUUUUCCUCUGUGACUACAUUCAGUUAUUUAUUUUAUUGUGUGUUUGUGCAUGUCGGUAGAGCACAGUAUUUAGUAGAAUGAGUUAUUGGUUAAACCACCUGGAUUCAUUUGUAAAAUGGGGCCACCUGUCUCUUAAAUUGUAAUGAGGAUUUGAUUAGAUAAUCUAGAUAAAUCACUUAGCACAAGAGUCUCCAGCCCCCGGACUCUUGACUGGUACUGGUCUGUGGCCUGUUAGGCACUGGGCUGCACAGCAGGAGGUGAGCAGGGAGCAAGCUAGCACUAGGGCCCAAGCUCCGCCUCCUGUCGGAUCAGUGGCAGCAUUAGAUACUCAUAGGAGCACAGACCCUGUUGUGAACUGUGCGUGUGAGGGAUCUAGGUUUCGUGCUCCUUACAAGAAUCUAAUUAAUGCCCGAUGAGUUGAGGUGGAACAGUUUCUUCCCAAAACCGUCUCAGGAAACCUGUCCCUGGUGCCAAAAUUUGGGGGACCUCUGACGUAGCACACUAUCUGGCACAUACCAAGCACUCAGAAAAUAUCCCAUUUCUCAAAACUCAGUUCCAGUGUCAAGUCUUAAUAGUAUAUUGAUCUUGGAACUCCAAGGUAGUUGGUCCUCUCUUUGUGCCAUAAAUGUGCCUUGUACUCAGUAGUGCUAAAUUGCUAUCAACUAGUGCUAAAUGUACUACUAAUUCAUCUGUGUGUCCACUUCCCUUCUUAGAUUGUGAGCCCCUUGAGGACAGAGAUGGGUUUACUCAUAUUUAUAAAUUCAUUGGCAUGAUAAAUAUUUGCUGAAAGAAUAAAAUUGUAUUCUUAUGUUUUAAGCAGGGUCCCCUCCACCUCUGAGUGGAAGAUGGUCUGGGAGCAAAGGUGACAGGUCUUCUAAAAAAUCUGGCCACAUUCUCAACCCACCACACCCCCGCUUUUUUAAACAGCUAUUUAAUUGCCAUUGUAAUCCUAAGGAUUGGAUCAAUUUUUCACUUCCCUUUUUCACACUUUUUUCCUUUUACUAAGAAAAUAAAGUAAUAAAGUGACUGCCAAAUGGAGAAAACUGUCCACUAAAUAUGAAUUAAUAAGUGCUAUUAUCAGAAAUUGUGUAAAAGCAACAUAAUGGCACUAUAAAAAGGUAUUAUCUUAGAAUCAAAAACCUUGGGUUUAUAUUAUAGCCCUGCUACUUUCUAGUCAUAUGACAGUGAUCAAGCUAUAUUACCUCUUUGGCUUGACAAAAUAGGGGUCAUCUCUAUUUCUGGCUUGUUAUGAUUGAUGUGAAAUAUUCAUACAAACUACCACUGUGCCUGGUAAGUAGAAGACACUCAAAUAUGUCUUGGAGUUACAGUUAAUACUGUAUCGUUUAAAUUUGAGAAAAACCAACUUUAAAAAAUCACAUAGAUACAGUUGUUUACUGCUAGAAAUUUUAUUUAAAUUAGUUGAUACUCUUGGUUAGGUAAUGAAAAACAAUGGUUUUAUCUCCAUUAUGCUGUGAUAGGGAAGAGUAACACAGUUCAAAUGGCAAAGGCAUACCUGACAAUUAAAAUGCAUAGUUAAAGGCUAAUACUUCCUGAACACAAGAAGACAAGUCUCUACUUGAUACUACUCUCCACAGUUAAAUCAUUGAUACUUUGUGCCAUACAGUGAAAACAGAACCAUCUAGGUGUUCACGGAUUGUAUUUUUCCUUAUGAAAGGUAGAAGGUUAGAGAAAAUUAUUCCCAAUACAAUUAAUACAAAUAAAAUUGGUUAUUAGGUGCCUUUUAAUUAGGCAGUAAGGGCAUAUGAAGCUUCAUUACCUAUGAGAAUUUUGUCAAAAUUAUUUCCCAGUUACCAUGUUUUAAAACAGCCUCUCAGAAUUCCCCACUUCUAAUUUCUCCUUUCUAUUCUACCAAUUUUACUCCAUACCUUUUUGCUAAAUAAACAUUUUCUUCCAACUCUGAGUUUGGUGUUUUUUUCAUUUGAUCUGCUCUUCAAAGUGUAUCAGCUAGUGAUUGAAUUAGGCUAUGGUGUAACAGAGAACUCUAAGACAGUAGCUUAAACAAGAUUUUUUUUUUAACCCCUGAGUCUUGCUGCCUUUUUCACAAAGACAAAGCUUUUUCAGAAACUCCCAGCUUAUGUCUCAUUUGCCACAACUGCGUAACAUGGCUAUCUUUUAGCUGUAAGAGAUGCUGAGAAACAUAGUUUUUUUGCUGGGCAUAUUGUCACUGAGCAAAAUCAAAGUUUUAUUUGGAUUAUUGUACUUACAAUUCACCUUUUAUGGCAAUUUAAGUAGUCAUUUGUCAUAGAUUGGAGGAUUUCCUGGAAGGGUGAAGAACUUCUAUAUAGGUUACUUAUUCUGACUAACAUAAAUUAUCCUACCACCACAAUCCCAUAACUCUAAACUUACAGAGAUGUCAUAGAAAACAACAAAUAUACACACAGCUAACCACAAAAGAAAAAGGAAAUCCCAGCUGCCAGAAGUGAAGAAAAAACAGCCAGAAUAGUGAACUCAGCAGCUGAAGGUACACUGACCUAGGUGGAUGAUAGUGUUGGCUGUGGGUCUCACCAAUGGACCCUGAGACUUUAACAGCAAGAGAUAUGGCCUGACUAUACAGGGAAGCUGGGACUGAGACCUACACAAAGCCAAGACCUUAGAAGGUGCUCCAGCCUCAGGAAGGAGGAUGAGCAAACUUCUACACAAUAACCCAGGGAAGCUACAAAGUUGUCUGAACCCAAGACUUUAGGGUGGAGAAAGAGGAAGGUGUCUGUGAGAAAGAGUUGAAGUUUACAUUUCAGUUUUGCUUUCAGAAUAUCCAUGCUUAGCUUAAAAAUGUGAGGCACAUUAAGUUACUGGCUUUAAUAAAGGAAUGAAUGAAAUGUACAGAAGUAUGUGUUCUCGGGGCCUCUUUUAAAGUCAUUAGGGGAAAGAAUUGGCAUAUAUUCAGACGCAUUUGAAGAAAUUAUAUAUUUUUGGAGAUGGAGUCUUGCUCUAUCGCAUGGCAUGAUCAUGGCUUACUGCAGCCUCAAUUUCCUGGGCUCAAGUGAUCCUCCCAUGUAAGCCUCCCGAGUAGGUGGGACCACAGGCAUGUACCACCUUGCCUGGCUAGUUUUUAAAAUUUUUGUAGAGAUGGAGUCUCACUGUGUUGCCCGAGCUGGUCUCGAACUCCUGGGCUCAAGUGAUCCUCCCACCUUGGCCUCCCAAAGUGUUACGAUUACAGUCAUGAGCCACCAUGCCUGGCCUGAAGGAAAAUUUUAAAACAGAAGGAAUAAGCUAGAAUGCAGCACAGAAGAGGUAGAAAAUUGAAAGUAAUUCAUGGAAGAUCCAAUAUACAUAUAUAUUUUAGGAGUUUAAGGAGAAAACAGAAGGUGUGAGGCAGUUGUGAACUAACAGAAUGUGUAGUAUACAACUCUUGGUAGAGAAAUGGUACGCACUGAAGUUUUUGAGGCGUGGGGGACAGGUAGCUUCCUUCUCUCAUGCAUACUCCUGCUGCCAAAUUACCCCCUAACGGCUACGUUAUAAUGAAAACAGUUUCAUGCCAGCUUCUGUUAUAUUAACCGAGCAAGAAAACUGAUCUUAGCAUGUUCUGCAGGCUAAAGGAAAUUGCUCUUGGCCCAUUUAGGUGCUCUAACCACCAUCUUGCCUGAAAGGUUCCUUUAAGAAGCAGAAUUCUAUUACUUUAACAAAAGGUGUGUUCAUGGCUGGACAAGAGCCUUUUAGGGGGUUAGACUAGGACAUCAUCCCAAAAUAUAAGGGCUACAGGCCAUGCUGGAUUCUUAUGGCCUCUUCUUGCAAUGGUGGUAUGUGUUACUCUGCUAUUAGUCAGUCUGAAAACCUUUAAUCUCACCAUCGGAGGCCCAUUUAAAAAAUUACUUUAGCAGGUCACUAAUAAAAAUUUCUACCAUUUAGUAUGAAAAUUAAGACAUUGUAUGUUGAUCAAGAUGCAGUCAACAAUACCUAGAAUAGCUUCCACUAGAGUAUGCAUUCUCUGAUUAGAACACUAGUUCAUCUUCCUAGUGAACUGUUCUAUCAGGAUGGUAGCAAGACUUAAGCGAUGACUUUACAUAAGUUAUGUGUACCACACUGUGUAUACUGGAGUAUUUCCAUGUAAAUUACAGACAACAGCUAUACUGGAAGCAAUAAAUGGCCAAGAAAUUUCCAGAGUUGACCAAAGACAUCAGGAAUGAUACUUGCUUCCAGAAAAAGAACCAAUGUAACAUUGGCUUAAACUGUUGUGCUUUUGCUUUUCUUUCAGAUGUAGGCUGUCCAGGUGUCCGGUACUAUAACUCCACAAGAUCAGUAGGGCCCCAGGCUUUUUCUGUUCUUUAUGAUCCACUCUCUACCAUGUAGCAUUUGUCUUCAAGAUCAAAAAAUGGUGGCUGUAGUGCUCACAUUCCAGAUAAGGAAGAAUGGGCAAGAAACAAAAGAUCCACUCCAAAUGUGAUGGCAAAAUUAAGACUUUUGAGUGAAAAAUGGAAAUUUGUCUUCAGUACAUACACACUGAAAGAAAUGUUGAAGAGAGUUCUUCAGGCAGAAGCAAAAUCAUUCCAAGGGAAAUCCUGGAAUGCAGGAAUAAAUGAAGAGCAAUGGAAAUGGUAAAUAUGUGGGUAAAUUUGAAGGAAUAUUGGCUGUAUUCUGUGGUUUAAAAUAUCUGUGGAAUUAAAAUGCACCUACAAUAACGAGACAGGAGAAGUUUGUACUGGAGUUUGUCCUCAGGUUCUAGCAUUAGGUAGGUAAAUGGUAAGAUUACUUUUUUUAGACUAUGAAGACAAGGGUGCAUGUUGUAAUCUCUUAAGCACUAAAAGGCUAAUAGAAUGUAUACCUAACAAUUUAAUGGAGACAAAAGCAUUUAAAAGAAGGCAA